rnacentral:rRNA from 1 species
UACGUAGGGGGCAAGCGUUGUCCGGAAUCAUUGGGCGUAAAGCGCGUGUAGGCGGUCCGGUAAGUCCGCUGUGGAAGUCGGGGGCUCAACCCUCGGAUGCCGGUGGAUACUGUCGGGCUUGAGUACGGAAGAGGCGAGUGGAAUUCCUGGUGUAGCGGUGAAAUGCGCAGAUAUCAGGAGGAACACCAAUUGCGAAGGCAGCUCGCUGGGACGUUACUGACGCUGAGACGCGAAAGCGUGGGGAGCAAACAGG